CAGAGGGAUGGAAAAUGGAGGGACCUUCCUGUGCCAGCCCCUUCCCGGACACCUGGGUCCCUCCCGAGCUGGCUUGUGUGCACGGGGGCGAGUCCCCCCUGCAACCCUCUGAGCGCAGGAGGAGAAACAGCCGCAGAAGCAGGAAAUCGGGGGCUGCAGGACCGGGGGUGGGGAUCGGAGUGUGAAAUCCCCCCCCCCCACCAGCUGAGCCAGGUGCGGGUCGCAGGAGCGCACUGGAGCGGUGGUUUCAGUCUGUCAGGGGGGGAAAGCAGCGGCGCAGGCUGAUCGCUGGCUGGAGACGGGAAAACCGUGAAUGAUGGUGGUGCCGCGAAGGCAGAAGGGCUCAAUGGGCAUUUCUGCCCUGCCUUUGGAAAGACGCUCCGUGGAGUAUUGCAUUUGUAUGGGAUGUAGGGCCGCCAGCGGGCCCGUCUUGUCCGGUCGAAAAAGGAACCGGACACUCAACAAUCCGGUUACCGGUGUAACCGCAAUCAGCCUCUCCGGGCAGCGGGCGGAGGCUGCUGCCUCCAGGGGGCGCUGCUCAUGGGAAGAAGCGGUCCCAGCCUCCAGCAGAAUGAGGUCGGUUGGGUACUAGGCUGCCCUGAAGGGGAUCCUGCCUCUUCCUCCCUCCACCCUCCCUAAGCCAUUGUCCCUGCCUCAGCCCCUUGCUCUGGGGACUUCUCCCCCGCCCCAAUUUCCCCGGCUCCUUGCUCUGGGGACAGACUUCUCUGAGCCAGAGCCUGACCGCUGGGCCCUGAUUGGGCAGCCAGGCUUCCUAUCAACUCCUCCCGGACCGGCUCUGCAGGUGGCAGAGUAACUCCAUCAUGCACCACUGCAUGGCCCACGCCUACAUCGAAACCGCCAAGAGCGUCUCCGGAGGCUCCAGUGUUCUCGAGCGUGGGGCCCACGCAGUCAACCGGCUGCAUCUUUGCCACCAAUGUGGGAAGAGCUUCAUCUCCAGGUCCAACCGGCUGGUGCACUGCCUCAGCCACGGAGGGGUGAGGCCCAACAAGUGCCCCCAGUGUGGGAAAAGCUUCAUCCGUCUCUCCAAGCUCAUCAGGCAUCAGUGCAUGAACAUGGGCGAGGGCCCCUUCACAUACCACGAGUGCUUCAUGUACCAUGAGAACUCUCGCUUUGCCCAGCACAGGAAAGUCCACGUGCCCUGAUGGCCCAGGCGGUGCUGGGUGGCCGGCGUGGGACGGCACUCGCUGCUCACAGACAUCAGACACUGAGUGGCUCAGGGAGUAGGUGCAGUUCCGGGAGGGAGGAAGGGCUAAGGUGCAGCAGCGUGGGGCGGUUCUGCUCUGUUGCUGGGAAGAGACACCACCAAGACCUGAUCCCGAGUGAUAUUCCAUGGUGAGAUUCUCCAGCCUACAUUAUGCAGGUCAGAUUGGACAGCCCUAAUGGGCCCUUCUGGCCUUAACAUCUAUUAAUCUGUAACUCAGGGCAGAGAACGUCCCGCUGUGAUUCCUGCAUCCAGCCCUUAUCUCGUGGGUGAGCUAGUGCAGACCUGUUAGAUUUCUUUUGUACUCGCUUUCUGAGUUUUGAGAUGUUAGGAGUCACAGAUUCCAACCCUUCUUUCCAACCAUGAGGGCUAGAAAACUCCCUUUUUAAAAAUAAAUAAAUUGAAAUUUGCUUGUACUGAGCACAGCUACCAGAUGAGGCCUCUCAGGUAAGAUAGGGGAGGCAACACCUGGUUGGAGGGUCCCAGGGAGCUUAGGUAUGAGAUAGGCAUGUACUCAGUGGCAGAAAUGUAGGUGCCUCAGGGACUUUAACAGUGAGACUUCAGGUGCCUACAGGCGGCUACUGCACCGGGAGGGGGUGGAGGAUCUCAUUGGCGCCUACGUGUUGGCUUUGGGCCCCUAAAGUGGCAGUUAGGGGUCUUCUAAGUCCUUUUGUGGAUCUAUCUUUAGCCCCUAAAGCCUUGUCAACAUGCAUAACUUGUACCAUGUAUCAGAGGGGGAGUCGUGUUAGUCUGGAUCUGUAAAAGCAGCAAAGAGUCCUGUGGCACCUUAUAGACUAACAGACGUAUUGGAGCAUGAGCUUUUGUGGGUGAAUACCAUGCAUCCGACGAAGUGGGUAUUCACCCACGAAAACUCAUGCUCCAAUACGUCUGUUAGUCUAUAAAAUGCCACAAGACUCUGCAACUUGUACCAUGUUAACUAGAGGGGUUGGUUAGUGUGGUACAGCUGUUAGUUCAGUUACGUGAUAAAUUCAUUCAGUGUUGAGAAAUUGACUGGGAGUUGAAAAAGCAGGAAAACUUGUUUUCCUCUUCCAAUCUAUGAAUAAAAAUGAGGUGUGAGAUGGUGAGAUCUAUUAGUUCUAACAUUUUGAAGCACAUGGUUACCAGAAACAAACCAUUCAAUUCACUAACUACAGACAAUACUGCACUUGUUAAAUAAUUCACUUAAUUUUCAGUGCAAAGCAGGUUAAAAUAACCUCCCUUUAUUUUAUGUAUCCAGCACAUUUAAGAUUUUAUUUAACUAAUGAAAAACAAUUUUAAAAUGCUAUUUUUGUCCAUUUUAUUUGAAUUCCAAUUGCCAUCCAAAUGCAGUUUGACACAAAUCAUAUGUGAAUAACUAACCAUCUAGUAAAUAAGAAAAGUAUCAUUCAAAAUUUUCAUGUAACAAAAUCUAAAAAUUAAAAGUUUGAAUUGUUAAGCUAUAUAACUGUUUAAAUAAAUGUGCAUAGAUAUAGUGUAUCCUCCUGAUUAGCAAAAAAAUGACUGUCAAGGCUAUAUUUAAUUGCAAAUGAACAUGUUAUAACGGUUACCAAGCAAGGAGAAUCAACCCUUUUUUGGAGGGAAAUAAAUAAAGAGUUCAAAAGAUUAAAACUGAUUAUUUAAA